AACCGCGUGGCCUAAAGGUUUAGAUGUCUGACUUCGGAUCAGAAGAUGGAGAGUUCAAGUCACUUCGUGGUUG